UCGGGAGGCAGCAGUAGGGAAUCUUCGGCAAUGGACGAAAGUCUGACCGAGCAACGCCGCGUGAGUGAAGAAGGUUUUCGGAUCGUAAAACUCUGUUGUUAGAGAAGAACAAGGACGUUAGUAACUGAACGUCCCCUGACGGUAUCUAACCAGAAAGCCACGGCUAACUACGUGCCAGCAGCCGCGGUAAUACGUAGGUGGCAAGCGUUGUCCGGAUUUAUUGGGCGUAAAGCGAGCGCAGGCGGUUUCUUAAGUCUGAUGUGAAAGCCCCCGGCUCAACCGGGGAGGGUCAUUGGAAACUGGGAGACUUGAGUGCAGAAGAGGAGAGUGGAAUUCCAUGUGUAGCGGUGAAAUGCGUAGAUAUAUGGAGGAACACCAGUGGCGAAGGCGGCUCUCUGGUCUGUAACUGACGCUGAGGCUCGAAAGCGUGGGGAGCAAACAGGAUUAGAUACCCUGGUAGUCCACGCCGUAAACGAUGAGUGCUAAGUGUUGGAGGGUUUCCGCCCUUCAGUGCUGCAGCAAACGC
rnacentral:rRNA from 1 species